rnacentral:rRNA from 1 species
AAAUUGAAGAGUUUGAUCAUGGCUCAGAUUGAACGCUGGCGACAGGCCUAACACAUGCAAGUCGAACGGUAACAGGAAGCAGCUUGCUGCUUCGCUGACGAGUGGCGGACGGGUGAGUAAUGUCUGGGAAACUGCCUGAUGGAGGGGGAUAACUACUGGAAACGGUGGCUAAUACCGCAUAACGUCGCAAGACCAAAGAGGGGGACCUUCGGGCCUCUUGCCAUCAGAUGUGCCCAGAUGGGAUUAGCUUGUUGGUGAGGUAACGGCUCACCAAGGCGACGAUCCCUAGCUGGUCUGAGAGGAUGACCAGCCACACUGGAACUGAGACACGGUCCAGACUCCUACGGGAGGCAGCAGUGGGGAAUAUUGCACAAUGGGCGCAAGCCUGAUGCAGCCAUGCCGCGUGUAUGAAGAAGGCCUUCGGGUUGUAAAGUACUUUCAGCGGGGAGGAAGGUGUUGUGGUUAAUAACC